AUUGAACGCUGGCGGCAGGCCUAACACAUGCAAGUCGAACGGGUGGCGGACGGGUGAGCAAUGUCUUGGAAACUGCCUGAUGGAGGGGGAUAACUACUGGAAACGGUAGCUAAUACCGCAUACCAUCGGAUGUGCCCAGAUGGGAUUAGCGAGUAGGUGGGGUAACGGCUCACCUAGGCGACGAUCCCUAGCUGGUCUGAGAGGAUGACCAGCCACACUGGAACUGAGACACGGUCCAGACUCCUACGGGAGGCAGCAGUGGGGAAUAUUGCGCAAUGGGCGCAAGCCUGAUGCAGCCAUGCCGCGUGGAUGAAGAAGGCCUUCGGGUUGUAAAGUACUUUCAGCGGGGAGGCGUUACUCGCAGAAGAAGCACCGGCUAACUCCGUGCCAGCAGCCGCGGUAAUAC
rnacentral:rRNA from 1 species